GACAUGUAUAUAGCCAUAUAUAUCUGUAUGUACGUAUUCUUGUUCUUGCAGCGAGCCACGUCAGUAUUUCCAACAGCAAAGUCUCAGCACGACUCAGGCCAAACCGCGCAGAAACAGUAAUGGAGCAGAAGUGCAACAAGCACUGAAAAAUUUCAGCAGUGACUUUGCAGUGUCCCCUUGGCAAGAGGAGAGUGGCACAGCCCCUGGAUGACACGCAGAUGGAAACCUUCCCUUAGGAAGAAAGGCCAGCCAGAGGUCUCUGCUCUCCU